CACAUCUAAGGAAGGCAGCAGGCGCGUAAAUUACCCAAUCCUAAUUAAGGGAGGUAGUGACAAGAAAUACCAAUAUAAGGCGUAUUCGCUUUAUAAUUGGGAUGAGCACAUCCUAAAUUACCUUGCGAGUAUCAAUUGGAGGGCAAGUCUGGUGCCAGCAGCCGCGGUAAUUCCAGCUCCAAUAGCGUAUAUUAAAUCUGCUGCGGUUAAAACGCUCGUAGUUGGAUAUCUGUUCGGAAAACUCAGGUCCACCCAAGGGGUGUGUAUCUGAAUCAACCGUGACAAGAAACUCGCGAACAUGCAUGCACUUAAUUGUGCGGCGAGAUCUCGAGAACGCUUACUUUGAGGAAAUGAGGGUGCUCCAAGCAGGCUAUGGCCUUGCAUACGUUAGCAUGGAAUAAUAGGACAAGACGUUGUUCCGAAGUGGUUAGUUUUCGGUCCGAUGUAGUACUAAUAGAGGUAGUUGAGGGCAUUCGUAUUUAAUUGCUAGAGGUGAAAUUCUUGGAUUUUUUAAAGACGAGCUACUGCGAACGCAUCUGCCCAGGAUGUUCUUCUUGAUCAAGAACGAAAGUUAGGGGAUCGAAGACGAUCAGAUACCGUCCUAGUCUUAACCAUAAACCAUGCCGACUAGAAAUUGGGGUUGUCAGAGUCUUGACGUCUUCAGCAACUUAGGAGAAAUCAAAGUCUUUGGGUUCCGGGGGGAGUAUGGUCGCAAGACUGAAACUUAAAGGAAUUGACGGAAGGGCACCACCAGGAGUGGAGCCUGCGGCUUAAUUUGACUCAACACGGGGAAACUUACCAGGUCAAGACAUAGAGGGGAUUGACAGACUGACAGCUCUUUCUUGAUUUUAUGGGUGGUGGUGCAUGGCCGUUCUUAGUUGGUGGAGUGAUUUGUCUGGUUAAUUCCGUUAACGAACGAGACCCCCGCCUGCUAAAUAGUUGGGUGAAUGCAUAGCAUUGACUUCAGCUUCUUAGAGGGACUUUCGGUGACUAACCGAAGGAAGUUGGGGGCAAUAACAGGUCUGUGAUGCCCUUAGAUGUUCUGGGCCGCACACGGGCUACACUGUGAGGUUCAACAAGCUUCAAACCCUUGUCCGAUAGGACUGGGCAAUCUUUUGAAAUUCUCACGUGAUAGGGAUAGACUAUUGCAAUUGUUAGUCUUCAACGAGGAAUUCCUAGUAAACGCGAGUCAUCAACUCGCAUUGAUUACGUCCCUGCCCUUUGUACACACCGCCCGUCGCUCCUACCGAUUGGAUGAAUCGAUGAGCCGUUUGGAGAGCGUGGGUGAAACCACUUCGGUGGUGGAACUUGUGUUCAAAAUCUUGCAAAUCUGUUCAUCUAGAGG
rnacentral:rRNA from 1 species